rnacentral:rRNA from 1 species
AUGAACGUUGGCGGCGUGGAUUAGGCAUGCAAGUCGAACGAGAACCCCGCAAGGGGUGAAAGUGGCAAACGGCGUAGUAAGGCGUAGGUGACGUACCUCUGGAUUCGGGAUAGCCACGGGAAACUGUGGGUAAUACCGGAUGAUCCCUCCCCGCUUGAAAAGGGGAGAGCAAAGGUGUGAUUCCGUCCGGAGAGCGGCUUACGUGGUAUUAGCUAGUUGGUGAGGUAAUGGCUCACCAAGGCUACGAUGCCUAGGGGGUGUUAGCGCAUGACCCCCACGACUGGGACUGAGAUACUGCCCAGACACCUACGGGUGGCUGCAGUCGAGAAUCUUCGGCAAUGGGCGCAAGCCUGACCGAGCGACGCCGCGUGCGGGAUGAAGGCCCUUGGGUUGUAAACCGCUGUCAGAGGGGAUGAAGUGCCGGAAAGCUAUCUUUCCGGUUUGACAUAGCCUCAGAGGAAGCACGGGCUAAGUUCGU